UACAGAGGGUGCAAGCGUUGUUCGGAAUUAUUGGGCGUAAAGCGCGCGCAGGCGGCCUUUUAAGUCUGAUGUGAAAGCCCACGGCUCAACCGUGGAAGGUCAUUGGAAACUGGGGGACUUGAGUGCAGAAGAGGAAAGCGGAAUUCCACGUGUAGCGGUGAAAUGCGUAGAGAUGUGGAGGAACACCAGUGGCGAAGGCGGCUUUCUGGUCUGUAACUGACGCUGAGGCGCGAAAGCCAGGGGAGCAAACGGG
rnacentral:rRNA from 1 species